UACAGAGGUCUCAAGCGUUGUUCGGAUUCAUUGGGCGUAAAGGGUGCGUUGGCGGCUCAUUAAGUCGGGUGUGAAAUCUCGGAGCUUAACUCCGAAACUGCAUUCGAUACUGCCGUGCUUGAGGACUGGAGAGGAGACUGGAAUUUACGGUGUAGCGGUGAAAUGCGUAGAUAUCGUAAGGAAGACCAGUGGCGAAGGCGGGACUCUGGGCAUUCACUGACGCUGAGGCGCGAAAGUGCGGGGAGCAAACAGG
rnacentral:rRNA from 1 species